CCUACGGGAGGCAGCAGUCGAGAAUCAUUCACAAUGGGGGAAACCCUGAUGGUGCGACGCCGCGUGGGGGAAUGAAGGUCUUCGGAUUGUAAACCCCUGUCAUGUGGGAGCAAAUUAAAAAGAUAGUACCACAAGAGGAAGAGACGGCUAACUCUGUGCCAGCAGCCGCGGUAAUACAGAGGUCUCAAGCGUUGUUCGGAAUCACUGGGCGGAAAGCGUGCGUAGGCUGUUUCGUAAGUCGUGUGUGAAAGGCGCGGGCUCAACCCGCGGACGGCACAUGAUACUGCGAGACUAGAGUAAUGGAGGGGGAACCGGAAUUCUCGGUGUAGCAGUGAAAUGCGUAGAUAUCGAGAGGAACACUCGUGGCGAAGGCGGGUUCCUGGACAUUAACUGACGCUGAGGCACGAAGGCCAGGGGAGCGAAAGGGAUUAGAUACCCGUGUAGUC
rnacentral:rRNA from 1 species